rnacentral:RNase_P_RNA from 1 species
AGCCGGUCGGAUAGUUGCUCUUGAUUAGCAGAAUGUAAAAUUGAGAGAGGAAAGUCCGAGCACCACAGGAUAGAAUACCUCCUAACAGGAGGAGUCGUUUAAACGACAUGGAUAGUGCAGCAGAAAAUAUACCGCCUAAUUUAUUAGGUAAGGGUGAAAAAGAGGUGUAAGAGACCCCUCAUUUUUAUUGAAAAGUAAAAUUGUGUAAACCCUAUUCGGUGCAAGAUCAAGUAUACCCCAAAAUGUUAUCCGCAUUGCUUGAGGGGAGGGUUGAUUGCGUGACUUAUCCAGAAAUGGAUAAGCUAGAUGAAUAACUGUCAAUAACAGAACUCGGCUUAUAGACCGGCUCA